rnacentral:tRNA from 1 species
GGCCGAGUGGCGGAAUCGGUAGACGCACGGGACUUAAAAUCCCGUGGGCCGAUAGGCCCGUGCGGGUUCGAAUCCCGCCUCGGCUA